CAGCCGCCGCGGUAAAACGAAGGGUGCAAGCGUUAAUCGGAAUUACUGGGCGUAAAGCGUGCGUAGGCGGUUCGUUAAGUCUGUUGUGAAAGCCCCGGGCUCAACCUGGGAAUGGCAAUGGAUACUGGCGAGCUAGAGUGUGUCAGAGGAUGGUGGAAUUCCCGGUGUAGCGGUGAAAUGCGUAGAGAUCGGGAGGAACAUCAGUGGCGAAGGCGGCCAUCUGGGACAACACUGACGCUGAGGCACGAAAGCGUGGGGAGCAAACAGGAUUAGAUACCCCAGUAGUCCCUGUCUCUUAUAC
rnacentral:rRNA from 1 species